AGUGAACGCUGGCGGUCGGCCUAACACAUGCAAGUCGAACGGCAGCACAGUAAGAGCUUGCUCUUACGGGUGGCGAGUGGCGGACGGGUGAGGAAUACAUCGGAAUCUACUUUUUCGUGGGGGAUAACGUAGGGAAACUUACGCUAAUACCGCAUACGACCUACGGGUGAAAGCAGGGGAUCUUCGGACCUUGCGCGAUUGAAUGAGCCGAUGUCGGAUUAGCUAGUUGGCGGGGUAAGGGCCCACCAAGGCGACGAUCCGUAGCUGGUCUGAGAGGAUGAUCAGCCACACUGGAACUGAGACACGGUCCAGACUCCUACGGGAGGCAGCAGUGGGGAAUAUUGGACAAUGGGCGCAAGCCUGAUCCAGCCAUACCGCGUGGGUGAAGAAGGCCUUCGGGUUGUAAAGCCCUUUUGUUGGGAAAGAAAAGCAGCAGGUUAAUACCCCGCUGUUCUGACGGUACCCAAAGAAUAAGCACCGGCUAACUUCGUG
rnacentral:rRNA from 1 species